ensembl:lncRNA
ACACCAGUCUGAGUGCCUGAGACUGCACCAUGAGCACGGUUACUUGUGCAAGCAGCUUCUUUGCUCAUAAACAAAACAGCUCCAUCUCCUCUUCCUUCUCUACUUUCAUACUCCAGUUGCUCAGACGGAUGGCAGAAAUUGCACAGGACUUGGCAGAGCAAAAGCUACCUGUAUAUGCGUCUCCGUAUGUAUGUAGGGCAAGAGAACCAGUCUCAGGCAUACCUGUAUCAGCUCAAGGCUGCAUUCCCUGGAGGAAGUUAAGUGAAAGGCUAUGUGCCUGUCUGACAGCCUGUCACUUGCACAGAGAUGCUCAAGAAAGACUAACCCUGAAGGAGCUAGUGAGAAGAAAGAUACUGGUAAUGUACUGAGAGAGGCCCUGAGAAGAGGAAGAAGAGGACACAGAGGAGUCAAGCCUGUGCCUCUGUCCACCUGUUGAAGUUUUCAGGCUCACAAAGGCAGCCGAUGUUCUUGAUCAUCAUGCAACGCUGCAAGAGGCCGACUGCAGGGAAAAGGGUAGAAGGCUCCCAAGGAGCUGUACAGAUCCUCGGCUGCAAGGAUCUGGCAUCAAGGUGUGAGCAGACAGAUUAGGAUAACAACUGGGCAGAAAAAUUACACUAAGUAUUUUUUAUCAACUGAGAAAGCAUUGGAAGGUGGUGACUGACCCUCAGGAAAAGGGUGAUUCAGAAAGCAGCUGUGGUAGGGGAGCGGAGAUGCUAUUAAUGUGUUCUGUCAUGGGCUGGCAUGUGCUCCCUCAUGUUCAGAUGGCUAAAGUUGAUUUGCUUUUCUUUUUAUAGGCUGGCAACCUGUGCUGAUGCAGGCGGAUAGUCUCAGUAUGGUCAUAAAAGCACAGCAGCUUUGGGAAAAAUAGGGAUUAGGAAGAAACUUUGUGAAACAGUCCAUGAAGUUUUGAAGUUCUCUCCCAACCCUCAUUAGAUGUCAGUUCUCUUACUGUAAGAUUUCCAUUCCAAAGUAUCCUUCCCAAAGUAUCCUUCCUAUCCUUCCCAACCCUCUUCCCCAGCAGUAUCCUCCUUUUCUCUAUCCUCUUCCCCACUCAGCAGCUCUUUCUGCCCUCCUUGGGCUGCAGCAAGUAAGUGAGGGGCAGGUUGUCUUUCUUUAGCAGAGGGCUGUAUAGGCAGUGGGCACAGAUGAACUGUUUGCACCAGAAACAUCUGGUUUUGUUUUUUUGGGGGCACAAACAAAACAGGAAGUCUGCUAUUGACCUCGGUGCAGUCACGCUUGUGGAAGACACUGCAGCUCCUUAAUGCUCAUGACAGCCAAGCGCAGAGGACCCUGAGAAUGAGGAGGCUGUAAAAAAACCUCUGGAUAUGGCCAGCUUUUCUCUGCAAUGCCUGACAUCCAUGAACACGGUAACCACGAGUGUGUUCAUUUUAAGUACAACAGCGUGGGAGAGAAGUGCACAGGGAGAAAUCAUACUCCCACUGCCGGCGAUGUGAGGACAGCAGCAAGGGAAUACUCCUGCCAGGGCUCUUACCUUGCAGCAACCAGUUCUGCUCUGACUCCUUCCUGGGAAGGACCGGACUUGCAAGGCACCAAAGACAGCAGUCAAAUCCAGGACUGCGGAUGUAAGUCACCAAGUGUAAGGGGGAUGCAACUGUGGCUGGACUAGCGGAGAGUGUGCAUUUAUUUGGGGUGAGAAGCGAUGUGGCUGCCUACCCACAAGCCCUGCGCUAGCAUGGGAUCUGUGCAAGGAGAUCUCAGUGCUGCAGGGCAGAGGGGAUCAAGCAACAUGAUCUAGAUACAAGGCACCGCAGGACAGCAGGGAGAUGGUCACACACAUGCCUACACAACCCCCAGGGCCCACAAACUCUUUACUCAGUGUAUCUUUACUCACUGUAGCUCAAAGAAAGAUUAUUUAUUAAGACAUCUAUUUUUUUUUCUUUUUUUUUUUUUUUUAAAGGAAAAAGUGGCCCCUCGUCAGAAAUGUAAGGCAAACAAACCCUAUACAGUAAAGCUGCUGUGUCAGGAAGUACAGAACAAACCCACAUCUCGUCAGAACUAACCCGCUCUUAGCUUUGCAUCCAAAAAUAUUAGUCCACUUACUGCCCAUUAAAAAUUCCCUUUGUCUCUUCUCAGUUGCAGUGCAAUGCUUGAGAUGUUAAAGCUGGCACUGUCAGCCUUCAAAGUAAUGUUAGAGAUUUAUUUACUCAUUAACUUUCAAAUGCAGGACACUUUCAAAACCUUUUCCUAAGGGCAUCCCUGUGUUCUGUUUCAGAGUUACUGUUGUUUUCCCACCUACCCUGAAGGGCUGUUUACGAUAGCAUCUCUCCCUUUUAAUCCUCUUCUCCUUUCAUGUCUAACAAACAGCAUUAAACAGAACACAGAGGGAAAAGACAGAUCUCACACAUUACAAUCAGCUAUAUUUAACUGAAGAAAAGAAAUGCUUCGCAAUUAGAGAUCUCAUUUUGUAAAUUAACACUCGAGAAGCUUUUUCCUAUGCAUUUUCCAGAUAAAACCAAGCCCUGGGUUUGUACGGAUAGGAGCUCAGAUAAAGGGUUGUUAGAACUCGAUCCCGUGAAUUGAUGCACACCGUACAGUGACUGGGCUUCCACAAAAAUGAUUUCUCUUAGGAGAGCCUACACGGAGGGCGGUACACACAGACGUGGGCAGUGCUGACGUGUUGAACUGUGACAGAAAAUUGUACGUUUCAAAAG